ensembl:lncRNA
GGGCUGAGAUUUGUGGGGUUGGGAUCUGUGGGGUCUGGAUCUGUGGGGCAAGGAAAUCUAUGGGGCUGGGAUCUGUGGGGCAGGGAAAUCUAUGGGGCAGGGAAAUCUAUGGGGCUGGGAUCUGUGGGGCUGAGAUUUGUGGGGUUGGGAUCUGGGGGGUCCGGAUCUGUGGGGCAGAAAUCUAUGGGGCAGGGAAAUCUAUGGGGCUGGGAUCUAUGGGGCAGGGAAAUCCAUGGGGUCUGGAUCUAUGGGUCCAAAUCUAUGGGGCAGGGAAAUCUAUGGGGCUGGGAUCUAUGGGGCAGGGAAAUCUAUGGGGCAGGGAAAUCUAUGGGGCUGGGAUCUAUGGGGCAGGGAUCGAUGAAUCCAAAUCUAUGGGGCAGGGAAAUCUAUGGGGCUGAGACCUGCAGGUCUGGGAUCUGUGGGUCCGGAUCUGUGGGGCUGGAAUCUAUGGGGUAGGGAUUGAUGAAUCCAAAUCUAUGGGGCUGGGAUCUAUGGGGGUGAAAUCUAUGGGGCAGGGAUCUCUGGGGCAGGGAAAUCUAUGGGGCUGGGAAAUCUAUGGGGCAGGGAUCUAUGGGUCCAAAUCUAUGGGGCAGGGAAAUCUAUGGGUCCAAAUCUAUGGGUCCAAAUCUAUGGGGCAGGGAAAUCUAUGGGGCUGGGAUCUAUGGGGCAGGGAAAUCUAUGGGGCAGGGAAAUCCAUGGGUCCAAAUCUAUGGGUCCAAAUCUAUGGGGCAGGGAAAUCUAUGGGUCCAAAUCUAUGGGGCAGGGAAUUCUAUGGGGCAGGGAAUUCUAUGGGGCAGGGAAAUCUAUGGGGCUGAGACCUGCAGGUCUGGGAUCUGUGGGUCCGGAUCUGUGGGGCUGGAAUCUAUGGGGUGAAAAUUGUGCAACUCCGUUGCCGUUCCGGGAAUCGGUGGGGCCGCCCCACAACCCCCCGCCCCACAACUCCGCCCCACAACUCCGCCCCACAACAAAGCCGCCCUACAGGUCGCUGCCCCGAGGGGCCCCGCUCGCCUCAUUAAGGACGAAGGUCAUUAAGGGCGGAGUUAAUUAGCGGAUAAACGCGCAGAUCCACGGAGACCCCAUAGCGACCCCAAACCCCAUAGAAACCCCAUAGGGAUCCUAUAGGGACCCCAAAUCCCAUAGAGACCCCAAAUCCCGUAGAGACCCCAUAGAGACCCCAUAGGGACCCCAUAGGGACCCCAAACCCCAUAGAGACCCCAUAGGGACCCCAUAGAGACCCCAAAUCCCAUAGGGACCCCAUAGGGACCCCAUAGGGACCCCAAAUCCCAUAGAGACCCCAUAGGGCCCCCAAACCCCAUAGACCCCCCAUAGGGACCCCAUAGAGACCCCAGAUCCCAUAGGGACCCCAUAGAGACCCCAUAGGGACCCCAAACCCCAUAGAGAUCCCAUAGGGACCCCAUAGGGAUCCCAUAAAGACCCCCAGACCCCAUUGAGACCCCAUAGAGACCCAAAACCCCAUAGAGAUCCCAUAGAGACCCACAGAGACCCCAUAGAGACCCCAAAUCCCAUGGAGACCCCAUAGAGACCCCAUAGAGACCAAUAGAGACCCCAAACCCCAUAGACCCCAU